GCGGAGACUGGGAGCGAAAAAUCCGGGAUCCGGCAACUUUAGGCAGCGCAUGCGCGCCCACGGCGCUCCAUCCCAAACACACACACAUUUUUCCCCCGGACUUGGAAAGUCACCCAAAGCCGCCCCAAGUGCAGGCACACAGACCUCACUGACUGAAGGCAAAGACACUUCCAUCCCACCUGCCCUUCCAGCUGCCCCGGCCACGGAUCCCUCCUUCACAAGGGAGUCUUGCAGCUCCCCAGUGCCACACAUUGGAAUGGACUUCGGACCCUGGCCUCUUGGGAUGCAAAGGUAGUUGCUCCCAGUUCCCAAGAUGCCCCUGGGAAGUGUGGGUAGCGGUUUGGGGGUGCUCCUUAGGGUAGGGGAUGUAUAGACCCUACACUCACGUCUCUCAGUGGUUGUGACAUGGACAACAGUAGCU
rnacentral:lncRNA from 1 species